UACGUAGGGGGCUAGCGUUGUCCGGAAUCAUUGGGCGUAAAGAGCGUGUAGGCGGUCCGGUAAGUCCGCUGUGAAAGUCGGGGGCUCAACCCUCGAAUGCCGGUGGAUACUGUCGGGCUAGAGUGCGGAAGAGGCGAGUGGAAUUCCUGGUAUAGUGGUGAAAUGCGUAGAGAUCCGGAGGAACACCAGUGGCGAAGGCGACACGCUGGGCCGUACCUGACACUGAUGCGCGACAGCAUGGGGAGCAAACAGG
rnacentral:rRNA from 1 species